GUGGAUUAGAUACCCUGGUAGUCCACGCCCUAAACUAUGUCGACUGGUUGUUGGGGGUUUGACACUCUCAGUAACGAAGCUAACGCGUGAAGUCGACCGCCUGGGGAGUACGGCCGCAAGGUUAAAACUCAAAGGAAUUGACGGGGACCCGCACAAGCGGUGGAUUAUGUGGAUUAAUUCGAUGCAACGCGAAAAACCUUACCUACCCUUGACAUGUCCUGGAGCCUGCAGAGAUGCGGGCGUGCCCGAAAGGGAACGGGAACACAGGUGCUGCAUGGCUGUCGUCAGCU
rnacentral:rRNA from 1 species